rnacentral:rRNA from 1 species
UACGGGGGGUGCGAGCGUUGUCCGGAAUUACUGGGCGUAAAGGGCGCGUAGGUGGCGUCGUAAGUUUGUGGUGAAGGCCCGGAGCUCAACUCCGGGUCUGCCGCGAAUACUGCGAGGCUUGAGUACUGUAGAGGGGGGUAGAAUAUCGGGUGUAGCGGUGGAAUGCGUAGAGAUCCGAUAGAAGACCGGUGGCGAAGGCGGCCCCCUGGGCAGUAACUGACACUGAGGCGCGACAGCGUGGGGAGCAAACAGG